rnacentral:lncRNA from 1 species
GAGGAAGUGAGCUGCCAUGUACUAGGCCACGUGGCAAGGGCCUGGUUGGGGACCUCCAGGGGUUGAGAGCAUCCUCUGGACAACAUGGAAAAAGAAAAUGAAAAUGGUGACCUCAGCCCUAUAGCUAGAAGGAAUUGAAUCCUGUCAACAACGAUACUCAUCACUCACUGCAGAUGUUACUUUAAGACAUUCUGGAGCAGCGUCAUGUGCAGGAACAAUAAGGAAGUGAGUGCUUUUGUAAUUCCUGAACAACUGUGUCUUACACUUACUAAGAAAAACCUGGUGGUAUGGACUUCCAGCUCAAUAAUUCACUGUAAAGUUCUCUUGCCUGCCACCAUGUAAGAUAUGCUUUUACUCUUCCGCCUUCCACCGUGACUGUGAGGCCUCCCCAGCCAUGUGAAACUGCCUUUGAGCUUAUACUGAAUUAUACCACCAGCUUUCCUAGGUCUUGAAGCUUACAGACAGCAGAUCUUGGGACUUCUCAGGCACCAUAAUCAAUCAUAGAUAAAUGAUCCAAUGAUUCGGAACUUGAAAAGUGGUAGCUUUAUGAAUUCUCCUUAAGAAGAAACCUGUGCCCUGAUCUUGCCUACUCACCCAAAGGCACUGUGAGAUAGCAUCAAAGGAACAGCUAGUAAGAGACACAGAGCCAGAAAUCAGGGAAGUAAAAUACACUUGACAUCUACGUUCGGAAAGAAAUUUUAGGAGGCAGAAGCAAAUGGAUCAGAAGCUGCUUAUAUUUUUGCAAGAUUACCAAAGAAACCAUUGGUGGAGAAAGUUCUGUGACCAACUUGUCUGAGUCUAGCUCCGGAAAGCUGCCUAAAGUAGAUGGAGUCUUCUCUGUGUGUGCCCCACUGGUCCUGCAGUUGAAGGAUCCGGUAAAGCAGCCUGCCCUUGGUUUUAUACUCCAGAGGAACGUGAUUCGCUGGACUAAAGCAUUGAAGUGCAUCCUGUUUCCGGGGGGCACUGGAACAGAGCCUGGUCUGUUCUAGCCAGUCCCUUUCUAUCUCAGGAUAACAUUCUACAGUUAUUCUUGAGAACUAUAAUCAAAUAAGCAGGGAGAACUGGGAAAGCAGAGGCUCAUUGUGGAACCCUCAAGGAGCAUGGGGUCGUCUUCAUCCCUCAGUUUAUAAAUGGCCAAGGAGAGUAAUGCAACAAAAACUUCUCAGAGUUAAAAGCCAGAGUUCCUAAAGAACCGUGGACAAAGGGUUCUGUCUAGUGGGCAGAAUUCAUCCAGCGAAGGUCUCCUAACUACAGAGGGUCACAUCUGGAUCUGAUGGCACCUACAGAACUUGGACUCUGAGCGACAAUCAGUGACCAGGAAAUUUGGAACCCAGGUUUUCCCAACCUACAUCUACAAAAUGGAAUGGGUCUGAUUCGCAAGUUUUCAGAGAAAGAAGCCAACCUUAAUCAGACUGUGAUAUGAUGAGGAAAUAAAACUUGCUGUGCUAAUCAA